CUUGGAUCAACUUAAUUUCUAAUUUGAUUAAAAAAUUAAAUCUAAUUUAAAUCUAAUUUAAUCUGAUUAAAUUAGAUUCUUAAUUGGGUUAAGACCUAUCUUAAUUGGGUUGAUUUAGUUUGAGAAAUCAAAUUUGAAUAAGUCAUAGAUUGAAUCCUAGUAAGACUAAGAUUCCACCUUACACUACCUUAGGCCCCCA
rnacentral:lncRNA from 1 species